rnacentral:rRNA from 1 species
CUCCGGUUGAUCCUGCCGGACCCGACUGCUAUCGGAUUGAGAUUUAGCCAUGCGAGUCGAACGUUCCCCUGUUGCGGGGAGCGUGGCGUACGGCUCAGUAACACGUAGUCAACCUGCCCUGGAGACAAGGACAACCCCGGGAAACUGGGAUUAAUCCUUGAUAGGUCAUCUCAUCUGGAAGGAGAGAUGGCUUAAAGGGGUACGCGGGCUUCUUCCGCGAAUUCGCUCCAGGAUGGGACUGCGUCCGAUCAGGCUGUUGGCGGGGUAAUGGCCCACCAAACCUGUAACCGGUACGGGCCUUGAGAGAGGUGGCCCGGAGAUGGACACUGAGAGAAGGGUCCAGGUCCUACGGGGCGCAGCAGGCGCGAAACCUUCGCAAUGCGCGAAAGCGUGACGAGGUUAAUCCGAGUGACUCCCGCUGAGGGGGUCUUUUGUCAGCUGUAAAUAGGCAGGCGAAUAAGGGGAGGGCAAGCCUGGUGUCAGCCGCCGCGGUAAUACCAGCUCCUCGAGUGGUCGGGGCGAUUAUUGGGCCUAAAGCAUCCGUAGCCGGUUCCGUAGGUCCUCUGUUAAAUCCAACCGCUCAACGGUUGACCUGCAGAGGAUACCGCGGGACUAGGAGGCGGGAGAGGCGGACGGUACUCCGCGUGUAGGGGUAAAAUCCUUUGAUCCGCGGAAGACCACCAGUGGCGAAGGCGGUCCGCCAGAACGCGCUCGACGGUGAGGGAUGAAAGCUGGGGGAGCGAACCGGAUUAGAUACCCGGGUAGUCCCAGCCGUAAACGAUGCUAGCUAGAUGAUUCAUUCGCAAGUCGCGAAUGAAGUGUCGCAGGGAAGCCGUUAAGCUAGCCGCCUGGGGAGUACGGUCGCAAGACUGAAACUUAAAGGAAUUGGCGGGGGAGCA